UGGGCAGCGGCGUAGCGUGGGUUGUCAGCACCCGGGGCAAGGCAAGUAAUUUGCGCCCCCUAACCCGGGGCAAGGCAAGUAAUUUGCACCCCCUAACCCGGGGCAAGGCAAGUAAUUUGCACCCCCUAACCCCUACCCUGCCGCCGCUGCCAGCUUCUUCUUGCUGCUGCCUGGUCUGGUCUGGUGUGGUUCUCUCCCGCGCUCAGCGCUGCGCUGGGCGGCCGCUGCACUGUCCCUCCCCA